rnacentral:hammerhead_ribozyme from 1 species
GGCCGAAACACCUGCUUCCCGCGGGUGUCUGCCGGGUGGGGCCCGGCGCUGAUGAGGCCAACA